CCUACGGGUGGCAGCAGUGGGGAAUUUUUGGCAAUGGGCGCAAGUCUGACCCAGCAACGCCGCGUGAAGGAAGGAGGCUUUCGGGUUGUACACUUCUUUUCAGGGGGAAGAGCAGAAGACGGUACCCCUUGAAUAAGCCACGGCUAACUACGUGCCAGCAGCCGCGGUCAUACGUAGGUGGCAAGCGUUGUCCGGAUUUACUGGGUGUAAGGGGCGUGCAGCCGGAGAGACAAGUCAGAUGUGAAAGCCACGGGCUCAACCCGUGAACUGCAUUUGAAACUGUUUCCCUUGAGUGUCGGAGAGGUAACCGGAAUUCCCUGUGUAGCAGUGAAAUGCGUAGAUAUAAGGAAGAACACCAGUGGCGAAGGCGGAUUACUGGACGAUAACUGACGGUGAGGCGCGAAAGCGUGGGGAGCAAACAGGAUUAGAUACCCCGGUAGUC
rnacentral:rRNA from 1 species